AUGAACGCUGGCGGCGUGCCUAAUACAAGCAAGUCGCGCGAACAGACGAGGAGCUUGCUCCUCUGACGUUAGCGGCGGACGGGUGAGUAACACGUGGAUAACCUACCUAUAAGACUGGGAUAACUUCGGGAAACCGGAGCUAAUACCGGAUAAUAUAUUGAACCGCAUGGUUCAAUAGUGAAAGACGGUUUUGCUGUCACUUAUAGAUGGAUCCGCGCCGCAUUAGCUAGUUGGUAAGGUAACGGCUUACCAAGGCAACGAUGCGUAGCCGACCUGAGAGGGUGAUCGGCCACACUGGAACUGAGACACGGUCCAGACUCCUACGGGAGGCAGCAGUAGGGAAUCUUCCGCAAAGGGCGAAAGCCUGACGGAGCAACGCCGCGUGAGUGAUGAAGGUCUUCGGAUCGUAAAACUCUGUUAUUAGGGAAGAACAAAUGUGUAAGUAACUAUGCACGUCUUGACGGUACCUAAUCAGAAAGCCACGGCUAACUACGUG
rnacentral:rRNA from 1 species